rnacentral:tRNA from 1 species
GCGGCGGUGGCGAAAUGGUAAACGCGAUGGCCUCAAAAGCCAUUGUCCGAAAGGACUUGUGGGUUCGAGUCCCACCCGCCGUA